AGUUUGAUCCUGGCUCAGGAUGAACGCUGACAGAAUGCUUAACACAUGCAAGUCUUUGGCGAAGCUGUGCUUGCACAGCCUAGCCAAGGCGGACGGGUGAGUAACGCGUAAGGAACUUGCCCUGCAGUCAGGGAUAACAGACGGAAACGACUGAUAAGACCUGGUAAAGUCAGGCGGACUCAUGUCCAGCCUGAUGAAAAGAGAUGCUGCAGGAGAGCCUUGCGUCCUAUUAGCUUGUUGGUGGGGUAACGGCCCACCAAGGCGAUGAUAGGUAGCCGGCCUGAGAGGGUGGACGGCCACAAGGGGACUGAGAUACGGCCCUUACUCCUACGGGAGGCAGCAGUGGGGAAUAUUGGACAAUGGGGGCAACCCUGAUCCAGCAAUUCUGUGUGCACGAUGAAGGUUUUCGGAUUGUAAAGUGCUUUCAGCAGGGAAGAAAAAAAUGACGGUACCUGCAGAAGAAGCGACGGCUAAAUACGUGCCAGCAGCCGCGGUAAUACGUAUGUCGCAAGCGUUAUCCGGAAUUAUUGGGCAUAAAGGGCAUCUAGGCGGCCAGAUAAGUCUGGGGUGAAAACUUGCGGCUCAACCGCAAGCCUGCCCUGGAAACUAUGUGGCUAGAGUACUGGAGAGGUGGACGGAACUGCACGAGUAGAGGUGAAAUUCGUAGAUAUGUGCAGGAAUGCCGAUGAUGAAGAUAGUUCACUGGACGGUAACUGACGCUGAAGUGCGAAAGCUAGGGGAGCAAACAGGAUUAGAUACCCUGGUAGUCCUAGCCGUAAACGAUGAUUACUGGGUGUGGGCAUGAAGAGUGUCCGUGCCGAAGCUAAUGCGAUAAGUAAUCCGCCUGGGGAGUACGGCCGCAAGGCUGAAACUCAAAGGAAUUGACGGGGACCCGCACAAGCGGUGGAGCAUGU
rnacentral:rRNA from 1 species